CAGAAAGUGCCUUCUUUCUGAAUUGACUUUAGAAGAAUUUGUAAUCACCAGAAAAGACACCAGCUAUGAGGUUGAAUGCUGCAAAGACUGAGGUAACUCAAGUAUGGAGAGAAUGAGUCAAGAGUUUUGAGGAAUGUGAGCUUACCAGGGACAGAAUUGGACAUGAAACUGCUUCCUGGAGUUGAGUACAGCAUUAGCCACACCUUGGAUGAUACUGUAUAUCACCGGACUUGAGG
rnacentral:lncRNA from 1 species